UCGUGGGAUAUUUGAAGUUCUUGGUACUGAAAAUUCAAGAAGUUUUAGAAGGAAAACAAGUUUUAAACUCUGGUCAUCUUAUUUUGGCUGGAAAAAUAGAGGAAAGUUCUGAGCAUACCAUCAAAAUAUAUGGUUUAUUCCUUCAGUAAGGUCCAAUCCCCACGAAAUUAAAGGAACCCUAUCAUUCACAAAUGGCAUGAGCAUUAGCCAAAUGUUAUGUUCUUGUAAAGCAGAAAAUAGUGGAAAAUGUAAACAUGUCUCUACUCUUGUUAAAUGUAAGUAUAAGGGAAGAUGUGAAAUUAAUGGAACAUUCAGUACAUGAGUUGAAAAAAAUGUUAACAGAUUGGCAAAUGAAGACCAUUUUUAAUUGAUCUAAACAUUUAUAGAAACAAA
rnacentral:lncRNA from 1 species